UUGCGGCUGGAUCACCUCCUUACCUAAAGAUACGCAUUGUGCAGUGUCC
rnacentral:rRNA from 1 species